rnacentral:rRNA from 1 species
GACGAACGCUGGCGGCGUGCUUAACACAUGCAAGUCGAACGGAAAGGCCCUGCUUGCAGGGUACUCGAGUGGCGAACGGGUGAGUAACACGUGGGUGAUCUGCCCUGCACUUCGGGAUAAGCCUGGGAAACUGGGUCUAAUACCGGAUAGGAGCCAUUUUUAGUGUGAUGGUUGGAAAGUUUUUUCGGUGUAGGAUGAGCUCGCGGCCUAUCAGCUUGUUGGUGGGGUAAUGGCCUACCAAGGCGGCGACGGGUAGCCGGCCUGAGAGGGUGGACGGCCACAUUGGGACUGAGAUACGGCCCAGACUCCUACGGGAGGCAGCAGUGGGGAAUAUUGCACAAUGGGCGCAAGCCUGAUGCAGCGAAGCCGCGUGGGGGAUGACGGCCUUCGGGUUGUAAACUCCUUUCGCUAGGGACGAAGCUUUUUGUGACGGUACCUAGAUAAGAAGCACCGGCUAACUACGUG